UACGUAGGGUGCGAGCGUUGUCCGGAAUUAUUGGGCGUAAAGAGCUCGUAGGCGGUUUUGUUGCGUCGGCCGUGAAAAACCUGCAGCUUAACUGUGGGCCUGCGGUCGAUACGGGCAGACUUGAGUUCGGUAGGGGAGACUGGAAUUCCUGGUGUAGCGGUGAAAUGCGCAGAUAUCAGGAGGAACACCGGUGGCGAAGGCGGGUCUCUGGGCCGAUACUGACGCUGAGGAGCGAAAGCGUGGGGAGCGAACAGG
rnacentral:rRNA from 1 species